UACAGAGGGUGCUAGCGUUGUUCGGAAUUAUUGGGCGUAAAGGGCGCGUAGGCGGCCCUGUGUGUCGGGUGUGAAAGCCCACCUCUUAAAGGUGGAAUUGCAUUCGAAACUACAGGGCUGGAGUGUCGGAGAGGAUGGCGGAAUUCCUGGUGUAGAGGUGAAAUUCGUAGAUAUCAGGAGGAACACCGGUGGCGAAGGCGGCCAUCUGGACGACAACUGACGCUGAGGCGCGAAAGCGUGGGGAUCAAACAGG
rnacentral:rRNA from 2 species